GACGAACGCUGGCGGCGCGCCUAACACAUGCAAGUCGAACGGAGCUGAGCUAAGCUUGCUUUUCUUAGCUUAGUCGCGCACGUGUGAGUAACGCGUGAGUAAUCUGCCCUGGAUUGGGGGACAACAGUUGGACACGACUGCUUAUACCGCAUAAGCCCACGCUCCGGCAUCGGAUUUAGGGAAAAGGAUUUAUUCGCUUCAGGAUGGACUCGCGUCCAAUUAGCUAGUUGGUGAGGUAACGGCCCACCAAGGCGACGUUUCGUAGCCGGACUGAGAGGUUGAACCGCCACGUUGGGAAUGAGACACGGACCAGAAUCCGACGGGAGGGAGGAGUAGGGGAUAUUGCACAAUGGAGGAAACCCUGAUGCCGCGACGCGGCGUGGAGGAAGAAGGUUUUCGGAUUGUACACUCCUGUCGUUAGGGACGAUAAUGACGGUAACUGACAAGAAAGCACCGGCUAACUACGUG
rnacentral:rRNA from 1 species